AAUAGCAUCCUGCUACCUUACAAUUGGCCGUCGGCAACAUCUUUGCCGCUUGAUUGGACAGCCUGGAUGUCCAUUAGGGCCACGCUGCCCGGCAACAGAGGCAAAGCGAAGGGGAAGACGCCCUUUCUCCUGAGAACGGGCGGGACCAGCUGGGGUACUGGGGACGACUGGGAAGACGCUGGGCGGGGCUUCGCCCGGCGCCUGGGACUCUGGGAUAGGGUCACUUCCAGAUGAAGGUUCUGCUUCCGGUGUCGGCCGUAGUGGGUUGCCAUGACAGUGCGGCGGGCCGGCGCGUGGCGCGGGUAUCCGGGAAGGUAGAGGAGUAGCGCCGGCCGGCAUCUUCCUCGCUCCCGCAUAAAUGCCCGCCCUCGCGAGCGGCCGAAGGGCGGCGGCCGAGGACCUGGGCCAGCCCGGGCCGGAGACUCGGGCCCCGCCGCCCAGCGGGAGCUGAGGCCCGGGCGGCCGGCGUGCGGUGGCUACUGGAACAGCAAGGCCGUCUCGCCGGGGCGCCCUGGCCUUGCAGCCCGCUUGAGCGCUUGGGUCCCGGCUCGGGCGGCGUUUGCCGAGAAGAUUCGGGGAUUGCAGGCGUGGUCUACACACGUGAUGCAGAACUUGGCACUCCGCGGUUAGGGCAGAAGCCUGGCGUCCGGUGUGCCUCGCAGGAGGACCCACGAGUCCCUGCCGGAGUCUCUGAUUCGUGCUGAGGUCGCAGCGAGUGGCUCUUGCUUGUCUAAUGAAUGCUGGCAGUUUCCCCUGAAAGCCUGGCUCGGUUCUUGCCGACCGUGGGUCAGGCCGCUCUCCCAGCCUGGGCAUGGGAGAAGGGUUUGCACGGGGGCGUUCUGAGGACCCAGGCCUAGGCCGGCGGGGAUGGAGAGUGGCGCGUCCUGCCGUCUUCCCUGGUCGUCAGAUGUUUGUGCUGCUGGGAACCCAGCUGUCGUUGGAGAUGAGGGCUGAGAGGAAACCUGUGUUUUCAGAAUUGAAAGGAGGCGCAGCGUUUGGGAGGCUGUGCUGCUGUGAUAGGGGGGCAAAUGGAGGGGAGCCCAGGCGCUGCGCCCCGCCUUGCCGACGGGGGUGGAGCCAGCAGGCUCAGCGAGAUGUUGGUGUGUGUCUGACACCACUCUCGCAGGACGCGGCAGCCAUCAGAGUCUUAGAGAGGGAGGCCGCUGUGUGCUUCAGCUCUCGGGGUCCCUGGGUCCUGCCGCCCACUGCACUUCUAAUCCACUUCCCUGCCGCCGCACGCCCCAGGGGACAACCGGUGAUGGCCAGACCCUUGAGGGCCUGCCGCCCGCGUGGGAGGCCUCGGUGGAGUUCCGAGCUCUGGGCUUCCGCCGGCCAAGCCCUGGCUAUGGCAGGCGUUUAGGGAGGGAACCAGCUGAUGGGAGGUCUGCCUCAGCCUUUCAGAGUAAAAAGGAACAAACCUCGGAAAUGUGAUGGCCUCUUCCUCUAUCUCAGUCCCAAGUGACGUGAGCUGGAGUCGGGGAUUUUUUUUUUUUAAGGGAUGUAUUUAUUUGAAAUGCAGAGAGCAGAGAGGGAGCUGCGGAUCUCCCUUCCCUGGUUCACUCCCCAAAUGCCUGCAACAGCCGGGAGCCCAGGUACAGGGCCUCCUGCCUCCCGCGUGCGUUAGCAGGAAGCUGGGUGGGAAGUGCAGAGUUGCUGGGCGUCCCAAGCGGCAGCUUAGCCCGGGCACGCGGCGCCCACCCAGGGUGCGUGGCCAGUGCCGAGUCCUUGUGUGCUCAGCAAUGACCGUUUGUAGAAGAUGGGGGGGCUGUCACAGUGUGUGCCACGGAAGGGCCUGGCUUUGUAAAAGCGUCAUUUUAAGAGAAAAUUGGCAGCCUGGGCUGCACUUGGGGUGGAGCCGCCAGACAUCGCUGAGCUAAGAUAGCAUCUGGGACCCAGAAUUCCACUGAGCAGGGUUGGAACCCAGAACCUUUCUCUGAUGCGCUUAGCUGUUACCAGUAAUUCUGGAGCGUCUGUGCUAGGCUGGCAUCAACGUGCCAGCACCAGGGAGGAGCCAGGCAGAGCCCUGUCUGGGUGGAGCCUCUCGCCGGGACUCCUCUGUCCGUGGGAGUGGCCCACAUCAUGACCGCUCGGCCUAGGCUCCUGUUCUCCGUGGCUCUCAGGGUGCCAGGGGAUGCAGAGAAGUGGGGAGCUAGAGGUGCGAGUGGCUCAGUCUGGAAUACAUGGGAUGGGGUGAGUAUCAGCACCUGGGUGUCACGGAAGGUGACCGGGCCCCAGCGGCGGCCCUCACCACCACCAGCUGUUCAGGAACUCUUUGCUGCCCAGGUUUCUGGCCUUUCCUGUUUUCCACUUCCUGGUCGCCACAUUUUCAGAAAUCUGUACUGGUAGUAAGAUGGUGGUGUCUUAUCUGGGCACCAUCUCGAGCCCCGGGUGCCACCUUGGGCUCUGGCCCAGCCGCCACCUUGCGCAAUGGGCUGGGCCUCUCCAGGACCCAGCCUGGCCUACCAGGGGUCAGGUGACCAAAUGGCCCAGCCCAGCCUGGCCUACCAGGGGUCAGGUGACCAAAUGGCCCAAUCACGGCAGCAGCCCCACCCCCACCCUGGUGGAAUUCGCAGCUCCCACUUCUACCUCUGCAAAGCUAUGAUGAGACCUGUUUUCUCUGCCCUCUGCCUCCAGCCUGUGGGGUUCCCUGCCACCCGACAAUAAACCUUUUCCCUUA